rnacentral:rRNA from 1 species
GACGAACGCUGGCGGCGUGCUUAACACAUGCAAGUCGAACGGAAAGGCCCUGCUUUUGUGGGGUGCUCGAGUGGCGAACGGGUGAGUAACACGUGAGUAACCUGCCCUUGACUUUGGGAUAACUUCAGGAAACUGGGGCUAAUACCGGAUAGGAGCUCCUGCUGCAUGGUGGGGUUUGGAAAGUUUCGGCGGUUGGGGAUGGACUCGCGGCUUAUCAGCUUGUUGGUGGGGUAGUGGCUUACCAAGGCUUUGACGGGUAGCCGGCAUGAGAGGGUGACCGGCCACAUUGGGACUGAGAGACGGCCCAGACUCCUACGGGAGGCAGCAGUGGGGAAUAUUGCACAAUGGGCGGAAGCCUGAUGCAGCAACGCCGCGUGCGGGAUGACGGCUUUCGGGUUGUAAACCGCUUUCGCCUGUGACGAAGCGUGAGUGACGGUAAUGGGUAAAGAAGCACCGGCUAACUACGUG